UACGGGGGGGAGCAAGCGUUGUUCGGAUUUACUGGGCGUAAAGGGCGCGUAGGCGGGAUGGCAAGUCAGUCGUGAAAUCUCUCGGCUCAACCGAGAAACGUCGGCUGAUACUGCCGUUCUUGAGGGAUGCAGAGGAGACUGGAAUUCCCGGUGUAGCGGUGAAAUGUGUAGAGAUCGGGAGGAACACCGGUGGCGAAGGCGGGGUCUCUGGGCAUCUCCUGACGCUGAGGCGCGAAAGCGUGGGGGAGCAAAACGGGG
rnacentral:rRNA from 1 species